UACGGAGGGUGCAAGCGUUAUCCGGAUUCACUGGGUUUAAAGGGUGCGUAGGCGGGUUGGUAAGUCUGAUGUGAAAGCUCUGGGCUCAACCCAGAAAUGGCAUUGGAUACUAUCUGGCUUGAGGAAUGGAGGGGGGACUGGAAUACUUGGUGUAGCAGUGAAAUGCGUAGAUAUCAAGUGGAACACCAGUGGCGAAGGCGAGUCCCUGGACAUUUCCUGACACUGAGGCACGAAAGCUAGGGGAGCAAACAGG
rnacentral:rRNA from 1 species